CAUUCAAGAGGUUAAGUCGACUUCUCAAUCCGUCAAAACAACUUAGAAAUCUUAUUUUCUGAGAAAUAGCUAACACAUCAAUAUUCUUUUCUGAUUUGAAGAUCGGACGUUCAAGUGCGGAGAAUUCUGGGAAGCUAGAAACGUCGGGCGGCGACGAACUCAUGGGAGUGGAUAUGCACCUAUUGGAUUCACAGGUUAUGUAUAAAGCUUGCGUUCAUAAUUUUUAAAAAGAAUUCCGGUGUGUUAAAUCUUCAUUAUGAAGUUUUCCUAUUCAGAAUUUUGUUUGACAUCUUUUGAAUGAGAAAUUUUGAAGCCGUUCGUUGAUUGUGAUGUCAGAAGAGGAUUUUGCAUUAUGUGCUUUUGUGGUUUCUAAAAAGGAAUCCAGGUUUGCGAUUAGACCUGCAUAAUGCCUUCUGGAUCAAAAGCGUUCAACAUCAAUAUUUUCGUCUCCUCCAGUUGAAUAUUCUAUGUACUAUGGAUGCUACAGUUAAAUAAUUGCGGAAGCAAGGGUUUUAGGCUUUUAGCUAUCAAAACACUCAAUUGGAUAGGACUUAGCUGGCAGCAUCUUUGAAGCAUGGAAAAGCUUUAUGGGUCAAUCAAACGCAUAUGGUACAAAUCGAUGCUCCACUGAAUGACGGAAAGCAAGGCUUCUAAUGAUGGUUCUACUUCUCCACCACAAUGGAACUGCAAAAAUAGGGUCAAACUUCCAAUGAAUUCAGGUUGUUCUCAACUCUGAUUGUGCUAUGUACAAUACAAGUGCUUAUCUCAAGCUGUCUAAUUAUUUCUCAACGAUCUGUUUCUUUGUUGAGGGAAGUAGUCGAAGAAGAUUUCACAGCCUUCGUUGGGAAAAAAACCUCCUUGAAGACCAAAGAAGAGACCAAGAACUGUUCAGAAGCAAAUGAAUGGGAAGUAACAAAGGCUCUUAUGACGCCCCUGAGGCUGCGGAAACAAGAUUAAAGGUGUGAUUCCUUGCCUCCUUGAUUUCUUCAAAAUUUUUUUUGGUUUCUUCAGUUUGUCCACGAAAUUCUUUGCGUUCUACCUUUGAAUCUUUUCAGUUGUAAAAAGGAAGAAUAAUAUAGCAAUGUACCCAUUUUGGUAAAUGAAAAUGUAAUCUCCCAUGCCAAUGUCAUCUCCAAGUACUUUGAAUCUUCUCUUUGUUUUUUGUAAAAGAGACGAGUGGUAUUUUUAUUACCAGAGCUAAUUGUAAU